UACGAAGGGAGCUAGCGUUGUUCGGAAUCACUGGGCGUAAAGCGCACGUAGGCGGAUUUGUCAGUCAGGGGUGAAAUCCCGGGGCUCAACCUCGGAACUGCCUUUGAUACAGCAAGUCUUGAGUUCGAGAGAGGUGGGUGGAAUUCCUAGUGUAGAGGUGAAAUUCGUAGAUAUUAGGAAGAACACCAGUGGCGAAGGCGGCUCACUGGCCCGAUACUGACGCUGAGGCACGAAAGCGUGGGGAGCAAACAGG
rnacentral:rRNA from 1 species